UCUAAGGUUUACCUUGAAUGAAUUAGAGUGUUCAAAGCAGACGUAAUUCGUCUUGAAUAUUUUUAGCAUGGGAUAAUGAAAUAUGACAAACGGGUCAUAAUUUGUUGGUUUCUAGGCACCGUCUUUGUAAUGAUUGAAAGAAACAGUCGAGGUCGCUGGUAUUCUGCGGUGAGAGGUGAAAUUCUAAGACCCACAGAGGACCGACAAAUGCGAAGGCAUUCGACAAGGAUGUUUUCAUUAAUCAAGAACGAAAGUUGAGGGAUCGAAGAAGUUGAGGGAUCGAAGAUGAUCAGAUACCGUCGUAGUCUCAACCGUAAACCAUGCAGACUAGGGAUAAGAGGAAGUUACAUGGAUGACUCUUCUUGCACCUUAUUAGCGAAAGCAUUAAGUAUUCGUGCUCCGGGGGGAGUAUGGUCGCAAGACUGAAACUUAAAGGAAUUGACGGAAGGACACCACCAGGCGUGGAAUCUGCGGCUUAAUUUGACCCAACACGGGAAAACUCACCCGAACCGGAUGCCGAUAGGAUUGACAGACUGAUAGCUCUUUCUUGAUUCUGUAGAAGCCGGUGCAUGGCCGUUUUUAGUUGGUGGAGUGAUUUGUCUGCUUAAGUGCGAUAACGAACGAGACCCCAAUAGGUUAAAUAGACGAAGGAACAGGGAGGUGUUAUCUGUGUUCGUCUCUGGAUCGAAAGGUUUAGGGAUCACGGAAUAACAUUUCCAUUCGGUUGUUUCUUAAAGUCUUCUUAGAUAGACACCUUGCGAUAAAAAUAGCAAGGGGAAGCGUGGGGCAAAAACAGGUCUGUGAUGCCGCUCGAUGCUCGGGGCUGCACGCGCAUUACACUGAAAUGUGCAGCAAGUAAGAUAAGUUCCUAGUGAACUAUUUCGUCCUAUCCCGAAGGGGAGUAGGCAAUCUUAGAAAGCAUUUCGUGACUGGGAUUGUGCAUUGAAACUAUUGCACACGAACGAGGAAUGCCUAGUAAGGGUUAGGUCAUCAACCUACCCUGAUUACGUCCCUGUCCUUUGUACACACCGCCCGUCGCUUCUACCGAUCGAACUACUCGAUGAGGAUUCGGGACGAAGAUUAUUUAGAGCGUCUCGCAAGGGAUGUUCUAUUUGCUUUGAAACCUAUUCGAAUCUCGUAGUUUAGAGGAAGAAGAAGUCGUAACAAGG
rnacentral:rRNA from 1 species